rnacentral:antisense_RNA from 1 species
ACUUCAGAUUGCAGAUUUGCCAAAGCUUCAUGUAGAGUCCUUCUCUCUUUUAUCACGAGUAAAAGUUCAGGUUUAAAAUAGAACAACGGAUGACUAAUGUCAUUUCCAGCUGUGACUGAAUUCUCCACUGCCUGAUGCUUUUCAAAUGUGUCUGAAUCAGAAUCGAACACCCACUUUAUGCAUAGCUCCCUAAUCAGGAAGUUAUUCUUCCCAUCAAAGCAACUGGAAAAAAAAAAAGAUAAAACAAUGAAGGGAGGAGAAAACACAAAAGUUCAAGAAGAGCAGAAUGUUCCGGCAAGGAGAAAAAGCUGGGAAAAGUCACCAAUGAAUGACAGGGUUCACCACCAUCUUAGGAAUAUCAUGAAUAAAGCGUUAGAUUGGGUGUGCCCUAACUGAUGGUCACAAGCAUGAUACUAAUUAUCAGGGUGAACAAAGCAGGGGAGUAAGAGCAUCAGUAACUGUGAAACUCCAGGAGUUUGUCUUCAUUGUUUCAGUGAUAGGUACUGAGUGUUUCCCAUGUGUCAUACCCUAUGCCAGGUGCUGGGGAUGCAAUGGUAAAGGAACAGACCUGGCAAUAUUCCUCAUGGAGCUUGUGGUCUAGGACUGAAUGGGUCCCAUCAAUUUCAAAUAACAGCCAUGCUUGUUACAAAUGAUGAUAGAUUUUCUACUCAAAGGAAAAGAAUGUAGUUUAUUUCCACUUCUAUGGCUUCUAGAACUUUUUCCAUAAUGUAACCCUGAAGGAGAGCAUUAUAUUCAAAUUGGGGAUGAUGUUUUAAAUUAUUUUUAGCCCCAGUCCCAUCCUAUUAGUAUAAAUGGUUGAGACUGUGGUGUUUCCAUUUCCCUAGUGUAUAUUAUGUGCUUCCUGGUGACUUUUAAGUCAAGAACUGUAAUUGCCCAGGGAGCAUGAUUACAUUGUCAGUGCUCUACUGUAACACCCUCACUUUUUCAUACAUUCAUGAACC